CAGAAGAAGCGCCGGCUAACUACGUGCCAGCAGCCGCGGUAAUACGUAGGGCGCAAGCGUUGUCCGGAAUUAUUGGGCGUAAAGAGCUCGUAGGCGGUUUGUCGCGUCUGCUGUGAAAGCCCGGGGCUUAACCCCGGGUGUGCAGUGGGUACGGGCAGACUAGAGUGCAGUAGGGGAGACUGGAAUUCCUGGUGUAGCGGUGGAAUGCGCAGAUAUCAGGAGGAACACCGAUGGCGAAGGCAGGUCUCUGGGCUGUUACUGACGCUGAGGAGCGAAAGCAUGGGGAGCGAACAGGAUUAGAUACCCUGGUAGUCCAUGCCGUAAACGUUGGGCACUAGGUGUGGGGGACAUUCCACGUUUUCCGCGCCGUAGCUAACGCAUUAAGUGCCCCGCCUGGGGAGUACGGCCGCAAGGCUAAAACUCAAAGGAAUUGACGGGGGCCCGCACAAGCGGCGGAGCAUGCGGAUUAAUUCGAUGCAACGCGAAGAACCUUACCAAGGCUUGACAUAUACCGGAUCGUUCCAGAGAUGGUUCUUCCCCUUUGGGGUCGGUAUACAGGUGGUGCAUGGUUGUCGUCAGCUCGUGUCGUGAGAUGUUGGGUUAAGUCCCGCAACGAGCGCAACCCUCGUUCCAUGUUGCCAGCACGUGAUGGUGGGGACUCAUGGGAGACUGCCGGGGUCAACUCGGAGGAAGGUGGGGAUGACGUCAAAUCAUCAUGCCCCUUAUGUCUUGGGCUUCACGCAUGCUACAAUGGCCGGUACAAAGGGUUGCGAUACUGUGAGGUGGAGCUAAUCCCAAAAAGCCGGUCUCAGUUCGGAUUGAGGUCUGCAACUCGACCUCAUGAAGUCGGAGUCGCUAGUAAUCGCAGAUCAGCAACGCUGCGGUGAAUACGUUCCCGGGCCUUGUACACACCGCCCGUCAAGUCACGAAAGUCGGUAACACCCGAAGCC
rnacentral:rRNA from 1 species